AAUGAACGUUGGCAGCGUGGAUUAGGCAUGCAAGUCGAGCGACAAGUCUUCCUUCGGGGAGAUGGAGGAGCGGCUAACGGGGUAGUAAUGCAUCGGAACGUACCCUUCAGUCGGGAAUAGCCACGGGAAACUGUGAGUAAUGCCCGAUGAUUCCUACGGGACAAAGGUCCGCCGCUGAGGGAGCGGCCGAUGUGAGACUAGGUAGUUGGUGGGGUAAUGGCCUACCAAGCCGAAGAUCUCUAGGGGGUGUGAGAGCAUGGCCCCCACCACUGGGACUGAGACACUGCCCAGACAUCUACGGAUGGCUGCAGUCGAGAAUCUUUGGCAAUGGGCGAAAGCCUGACCAAGCGACGCUGCGUGCGGGAUGAAGGCCCUUGGGUUGUAAACCGCUGUCAGAGGGGAUCAAAGGAAACUUGAGAGAGCCUCAGAGGAAGCGCGGGCUAAGUUCG
rnacentral:rRNA from 1 species